GACAGAGGGUGCAAACGUUGUUCGGAAUUACUGGGCGUAAAGCGCGUGUAGGCGGCCCUGCAAGUCGGAUGUGAAAUCCCACGGCUCAACCGUGGAAGUGCAUUCGAAACUGCAGGGCUAGAGUCCUGGAGAGGAAGGUGGAAUGCUUGGUGUAGAGGUGAAAUUCGUAGAUAUCGAGAGGAACACCGGUGGCGAAGGCGGCCUUCUGGACAGUAACUGACGCUGAGACGCGAAAGCGUGGGGAGCAAACAGG
rnacentral:rRNA from 1 species